GGGCACGUAGCUCAGCAGUGUGACUGACGCUGACAAGGAACAGGCAGAUGUCCCUCUCCCCUUCGCACGGUGUGACAGCAAGUCCUGCAGGGGAGGGGAGGACCACAGCUGGCGGGGAGACCAGGAGCCUCCCUGCCCGGAGUGAGCAGCUCUUCCCACCUGCGUCUCUCUGCACUGCCCCCCACCCCAGCCGGGCACCCAGGACCUGCAAGAAUCCAGGUGGCCGGUGCACUCUAGGUCUGCUCAAUCCUCCCACAGGCCGCCAUCCUGGAGAGGCUCUAGCCCCUCAAGCCGCCUUAUCCAUCAAGCUGCCUUAUCAAGCACUCUCGGUCAGACCACCCACCGAAAAGCCAGCACCAGUGCCCUGCCCCCACUCCUGCUCAGCUCUGCUCGCGCCAUCCUGUCUCCUGCCUGACACCUGGCACAUUUGGUAUCAGAGGGGCAGCAGCAGGGGACCCAAAGGGCCUGCUGAUAAGGUCAUAUUGCCCACUCAGUUCCCUGAAGUCACAGCCCCCAACCAGAGGCCAGGAGGUCUCUGAUAAGUGGUCAGGCUGAGAGGGAGAGAACCAGGAUGUCUGGGAGUUGAGCUGUCCUGAGAGGAGCAGUGAGUGCAAAGGCCCUGGGGCAGAAGCUUAAAGCGGUCCUCUAGAGAUUUCCUGGUAGCAGACUCCCAGCCCAGUGUUGCCAACAACAUUGACCUGCUGCUUCUGGCGGUCAAGGGUCAUAGGCCAAGGCCAGGGGCGAGGCAGCGAAUGAACCCUACCCACCUAUGGGAAGCGGCAGAUCUGGGCAGUGAAAGGGAG
rnacentral:lncRNA from 1 species